UACGGGGGGGGCAAGCGUUGUUCGGAAUUACUGGGCGUAAAGGGCGCGUAGGCGGCCAACUAAGUCGGAUGUGAAAUCCCCAGGCUUAACCUGGGAACUGCAUCCGAUACUGGAUGGCUUGAAUCCGGGAGAGGGAUGCAGAAUUCCAGGUGUAGCGGUGAAAUGCGUAGAUAUCUGGAGGAAUACCGGUGGCGAAGGCGGCAUCCUGGACCGGCAUUGACGCUGAGGAGCGAAAGCUAGGGGAGCAAACAGG
rnacentral:rRNA from 1 species